UACGGGGGGGGGCUAGCGUUGUUCGGAAUUACUGGGCGUAAAGGGCGCGUAGGCGGUCUGCUAAGUUGGAUGUGAAAACUCUGGGCUUAACCCAGAGCCUGCAUUCAAUACUGACAGGCUAGAGUUCUGGAGGGGAUAGCGGAAUUCCUGGUGUAGCGGUGAAAUGCGUAGAUAUCAGGAGGAACACCGGUGGCGAAGGCGGGUCUCUGGGCAGUAACUGACGCUGGAGGAGCGAAAGCGUGGGGAGCGAACAGG
rnacentral:rRNA from 1 species